AGACAAAGCAGGCAACAGCACGGCAGGGAAGACUGAAGAAUUAAACCACAUUUAUUUCAAUGCAAGGGGCCUGACUGCUCCAUGAUUAAGCAUUACUCAGCAGAACUAGAAGCUGUUUCAAGUCAUGCAUCAAACAAAGAAGUACAUUAGGAUCCAUAGAUUGUACCAUCACAACACAAACACUGAGACGCCAUCUCCCUAUCCAACACUCAUGCCCGGAACAUCUGGAUAACAAGGACACCUUGUUUGCUACCGGUGCAACGAGAC